rnacentral:rRNA from 1 species
AUAGAUACCCAGGUAGUCCACGCCGUAAACGAUGAGUGCUAAGUGUUAGAGGGUUUCCGCCCUUUAGUGCUGCAGCUAACGCAUUAAGCACUCCGCCUGGGGAGUACGGUCGCAAGACUGAAACUCAAAGGAAUUGACGGGGGCCCGCACAAGCGGUGGAGCAUGUGGUUUAAUUCGAAGCAACGCGAAGAACCUUACCAGGUCUUGACAUCCUCUGACAACUCUAGAGAUAGAGCGUUCCCCUUCGGGGGACAGAGUGACAGGUGGUGCAUGGUUGUCGUCAGCUCGUGUCGUGAGAUGUUGGGUUAAGUCCCGCAACGAGCGCAACCCUUGAUCUUAGUUGCCAGCAUUUAGUUGGGCACUCUAAGGUGACUGCCGGUGACAAACCGGAGGAAGGUGGGGAUGACGUCAAAUCAUCAUGCCCCUUAUGACCUGGGCUACACACGUGCUACAAUGGAUGGUACAAAGGGCUGCAAGACCGCGAGGUCAAGCCAAUCCCAUAAAAACCAUUCUCAGUUCGGAUUGU